GGAAUUGUAGUCUAUAGGUGCGGACUCGCGUAGAGCCGGGUAUAAAUCCGUUCUAGGAACUGGGUGCCAGAGAGGGUUAGAGCCCCGUCUUUGACUCGGUGAGCUGCGCGUGACGAGUACGGACCAGAGAGUCGGCUUGCUUGGGAAUGCAGGUCAAAAUGGGUGGUAAACUUCAUCUAAAGCUAAAUAUUGGCGAGAGACCGAUAGCGAACAAGUACUGUGAAGGAAAGAUGGAAAGAACUUUGAAAAGAGAGUGAAAAAGGGCUUGAAAUUGUUAAGAGGAGAAGUGAUUGGAGCAUAUCAUACCUUCUAGGGUUAAUGGUUGGGAUUUAUCCUGGCAAUGUAUUCCUGGUUGGUUGGUCAGCAUCGGUUUGGGCUUGGGGAGACUACUUUUAUCGUGAAACCUAGUGAUCGGUAGAUGUGAAACCCGGGGCGAGACCGAGGCACAAAGAGCGCGCAUAGCGACCGGCUUGAGCCCUUCUGCAUUGCAGUCCAACACUCUUCGGAGUGUUGUCUGUACUGUGGUUGAUGCGAAGAGUGCAGGAUCUGCGUUCUGAAGAUGCUGGCACAAAUGGCUUCAAUCAGCCCGUCUUGAAACACGGACCAAGG
rnacentral:rRNA from 1 species